AUGUGCAUUACAAUGUACAUUUUGUUUCAAUUUAAUUUGAACCUUUCAAAAACUACAUAAAGUAGUAUUUCUUUUGUUUCAUUGUUUUGUAAAACAAACGAAAGUCACCGUUAUCUAUUAUACGACAAGGUUCAAAUUAUAAAUAGGGAAACUGUGUAUGGUGGGCCUUACGAGGUUAAUUUAUAUUUUAUAUCUUUACGACGUAUCGGAUAAUGUAAUGGUUCUAAAAAUACUCUUAUUAUAAUUUAAAUAGUCAUUUUAAUUAGCCAAAGAUCAAAAAAUGGAAAUAAGUCAUAUUCAAAAUAAUUGUAACGGAUUUACGUAAGUAUGAAAAUAAGGCUCACUUUAUAAUGGUAGCGGUAGGGCCUUCGUGUGGCUGAGUUAACAGACCCUCGAGGGUACUGUCCUCACCGCGCGCUUAGUUUGGCUGCCACGUGUAUUAUUGUAACUACGGCCCGUUUGGCCGAGGCGAGGCGGUGUCCGGUGUCCGGUGUCCGGUGUCCGGUGUCCGGUGCCCGGUGCCCUGCAAUGUGUUCUAAGACGACACCUGUAGUCGCGGUGCUCCUGCUAUAAUAGGCAACAACAAUGCGGCUUACACUACACGCAGCUUUACAUUGCGCUCUAUUAAAAAUUAAUAAGCCAUUCAUUUGCACAGGUGUAAUAAACGUAAAAAUGUGCUGAACUAAUUAUUAAGACAUGAUUUGAAAGAGUAAAAAUAAUUUUCUUUACGACCGUCUACUUAAUCCCUCAGCCACACAAUUGGGUCCUGUCCUGUCCUGUCAGCUUUAUCAAACAAGUGUUCUAUUUGUUGUUAUUAAAAUAAUUUGGCCGACCGUUUUAGUUUCGUCCAAUUAUAAUUUACAUAUCUUUUUAAAUUAGGUUAGAGAGUUAAGUAUAAGUAGGUUAUAUUAUUAAAUCACUUAAGUGAUCUCUCAAACCAAGCACACGGCAAAGCAGCGGCUAAUAGAAUAUGGUUUAGCGGCUAAUAGAACUUGUAAUUCGAGAACAAAUUACUAUUUAAUUAGUAUAGAGAUGUCUAAAACACACACAUACCUACUGUUGUAUUGUAUAAAACAAUAGGUUUAACAAGCCGUCGCUUUCACUAAUGGCAUGUGCUGCGACGUUUCUUAUUCCAAAUAGCAGUCAGCGUUCAUACAAGCGUAUUAAUUAACCAGUCGGUCAACGAAUCCAAUCCAGCCAUGGACGUUACACUUUAACUAUGUACGAGUACAUGUGUAGGUACAGGUUAUUACUAUAUCCAAAAACGCCCUAUAGGAAAGGUCUUAUAUUAAAUGGUAAAACAAAUGAAGGGUACACGGAAAGAACAUGUCUAGUCACUUUUUUCGGAAAAUGCGAUUUUCAUUUCAAAAUGUAGAGCUCUUAAUGAAUAUUGGUUAUAUCUUUUGCUACCACUGUAUAAUAUAUGUAACACAACUUUUUUUUUAUUAAAAAAGACUUGGUCACGGAAUUACCAUACAUUUUGACAUGGUUCCAAAUUUUAAAACCGCGAUUACUCAAAAUAAGUGACUAGACAUGUUCUUUCCGUGUACCCUUUAAAUAUUGUACUGUAAAUAUUAUUGUUACUAGGACAUAUUUCCGUUAAUGAACAAGUCUGUUAGUUCCGGUUGAGGCACAGGGCACAGGGCUAUAUAAUCAGUAUUUUUAAGACUUGUUCAAAAUGAAUACUUGUCUAUUCAUUGUGUUGUUUAUUAUUUUAUUUCUAGGUCUGUCAAAAAACCCAAAAGUUUUAUUUCCAGGUAUUACUCAAUCUACUAACCCACCCACCAUAUUUGCAAUCCAGCGGAUACUUAACUCCUGUGUUCAAAUGUGGCUUUCCAUAAGUGCAAUAAGGACCUUUUCAUCUGAAAUUCAAAUCAGGGAUGUUGCAAAUAUUCGCAUCCGCAUCCGCAUAAAAUCGAUGCGGAGUUUAAUGCGGAUGCGGAUGUGGAACAGGAACGUCUUAACGGCGGCGUAAGUGCAAGGUAAUUUCGUCAUUAGCCAAUAGGAAUCUCGUUUCGUUUUUGUGAUUCGUCGAUCGAGCCCAGACGGACAGCGACAAAAAGUGAAUAAUUUGUUUUAUUUGGACUUUAGUAAGUAUAUUAAUGCGAUUGUGGGGCACCUUUAUUCUUGUUCAAAUACUAAAAGUUUCGUUUUUUUUAAAUUACUAAAGUGUAAUAUUUGACGUUUUUUAGGUGCCUAAUCUUGACAUCCGCGUCCGCGGAUGUGAGCCGUUAAAAAUCCGCAUCCGCGGAUGUCAACAAAUCGGCAUCCGCAACAUCCCUGAUUCAAAUGGAUAUUCUUAUAGAAUGGUCCUUAUUGCACAUGAAGUAUAAGGAUCCUUCUCUGAUGGAAAGCCACUAAUUUAUUUUGCAACCCGACUCCUUAGCUAUAUACGACUACUAGUAUUGGGCCCUAAUAAAAUACGGAACCCUAUAAAGAUUGAGUGUACCUGAGGCAGUUCGAUUGUCGCCAUCGCAACCACAUCAGCAUCAAGUUUUCAAAUAGCACAACCUAUUAAAAUAUUAUACAUAUUUUUGCUGAACAAUAUGGAAUAUUCUAUUAGUAUACUUAUUCAGGAAAUGUAAUAAAUAAAUUAUUAUUAUUAUUAUUAUUGGACAAUCUUACACAAAUCGAGCUAUACCCACAGUAUACGCUCAAUAAGGCGUGUGUAAUGGGUAAUAGAUUUACACCUAGCAUUUUUAUUACUAAGCUAUGGAAUGUAAUAUGAAUCCACAGACGAUUUCAUGUAAUAUGUACAGUCAGCUGCAGAGAAAAGGUACCCCACGUCCAUACAAAUAUACAGAAGUUUGUAUGCAGGGGGGGGUGCCUUUUCUCUGCAGCUGACUGUACAUACAUAGGUAGAUAUGUACGAGUAAUACGACAAUAGCCGGUUAUCACACUGCUUCGCACUUCGGAGCGACGUCCGACGACUGCGAUUUAACUUAGUAUCUAAUGUAGAAUCUCGAUUUGUAUGCAAAAACCACAUGGUAUAACACAUUGGCUCCGCCUGUCCGUGCGAAGGUGCGAAUCGCCUGACGAUUCGUGCUUUCGGGCGGAGAUACGGUGCGCGCCUUAGGGUAUGCCACACCGAGUUCCGUACCGUACGGAUUUUUAUUCAUAAACGCAAUUCGUCGCGCAUCGCACCUUCGGACGAAUAUACGGAGAAAACCGCACCAUCGUACCGUCGUCGCCGCACGCGAACGCUUCGCACUUCGCAACGACAUGCGACGGCAGUGUGUUAAUCGCCUUAUCUGGGUCUGAAGCACUGCCAUUAUAUAUUAUUUAUUAUUUGUUUGCUGGCGUAUACUUUUUGAAAACAAUGUCGAUUCCCGAAGCAGAUGAAUAAUCAUUGUACGAUCACAUUUUUUUCGCAGCGCGCGGCGGAGAGGUCGACCUUUGACAAUAAUGUCGAUAGAUAGGUUCCCACUACUUGUCUUGCGUUCAUUUUGUUCGCUCGCUUAGCUGAUACUUAGAUGUUGCCUGUUGCUAGAAAAUCGAUUAAUUCUUGAAAAGAUGUUUUGUAUGUUACUCAGGCGUGUAAAACGUAUUUUUUACUUAUCUAUCUGUGUGAUGUAGUCAUUGUUUUUCGUUUCCUCUGAUUGGUUAUUCGCUGAACAAAUGUCAACAGUACUGGCUUGCAAUGUAAUUUUAGAUUUAAAUAAGAUUAAUGUUCAUUAUGAUUAUAUGAUAUGAAUAAUUUUGCGUUUAAGAAAAAAUAUUACACUAUGCCCUGUGAUAAAAUCUUUAUGCACCCAAUAUUUCAUAAUAAUCGAUCGCAUAAUCCAGAGCUUUAUAUUUUGUUCUCUGCUAACAAUACAUUUACUCCGACACCCUUUCCCGUAAAAAUGUUAAGUGACCAAAUCGGUUACUAGGUAUUUCGAAUGGUCUCUUACUCGUAAAUGUUUUGUAGUUAAAAUAAUAUAUGUACGUACCUAUUAUAUUUUAGGGCGCUUUAUGAUUAUACCUAGUUAUAGUGAGGAUACCAGUUUACCAGAAGGCACGACACUUCAUCGGUAGCGGCGUGAGCUGCUAGUGUGCGAGUGGUAAACGAUCGAUCAGAACGGAAAGGGAAAGGGAAAGGGGUUAUCUGGGAUCGUUGGCCACUAACCACUAGCCGUUGACUAAUGGGUGUAAUUGCCAUAUAUCGAGUUAGCCAUUUAUAGAGCACGUAAAUGUUGUUCUUAACGAUUGUCGUAUUAGGUGUUAUGAGUAACUUAUCGAAUGUGCGUAUUAAAUAGCUGCACGUAAGUACCUACUAGUGCCCAUUGUGUGGUCUAGUACCAAAUUUUAGGAUUUAGUUUAAUAAGUUCCAGACUGAACCAAAUCAUAUGUUGUGUUAAUUAACAAUGAGUAAAAUAAAUAAAUACAAAAAUA